rnacentral:rRNA from 1 species
UACGGAGGGGGCUAGCGUUGUUCGGAAUUACUGGGCGUAAAGCGUGCGUAGGCGGAUUAUUAAGUUAGGGGUGAAAUCCCGGGGCUCAACCUCGGAACUGCCUCUAAAACUGGUAAUCUAGAGAUAUGGAGAGGUAAGUGGAAUUCCUAGUGUAGAGGUGAAAUUCGUAGAUAUUAGGAGGAACACCAGAGGCGAAGGCGGCUUACUGGACAUAUACUGACGCUGAGGCACGAAAGUGUGGGUAGCAAACAGG